UUCCUCGCGGCCCCCCGCUGCCGGGCCAGCUGUCACCAUGAAGAAAUUCUUCCAGAUCGUCAAGGCUGACAUGGAGUUCAAGAGAGCGGGGCCCAGUCAGAAGCUCACAGACUCCGUGGGGUAACUGAGGCCAAAGAGGAAGGCUUAACCCACCUGGCUGUACCUACUCUGAGGAAGGACCAAUGGGAUGCUUGCAUCAGAGAGGCCAUUCUCUUGGGAAGAACCCAGAGGAGGGGGCCUGAGACCUCCAGGAGUGGCUGGAGAGCCAGAGGCAUGUCCUGAAACCCAAACCCAGGGAAACGGAGCACCUCCUGUGUCAUCAUCGAAUGGUGACUGUCAAUGUAAAAGAGAAGUCCCAGGACAGAAGCCAGGUGAAAGAAGGUCUCUGCUGGAAAAUAACACGUGCUGAUUCCUGUAGAGUUAACCGCUGACCACAGAUUUCUGCAAAUCGUCCUCCGGUGCGGUUGGCAUUUCCCCAAGCAUGGAUGGAUACCUGUGGCUGUGGGGCACUUCCCGCACCAGAAGACAACACAGACUCGGGGUCGGUGGGCUGCCGCCCCCAGCUGCAGAGGAGGAAAAGAGACAAGUGAAAACGUGAAGUAAAGGGUGGGUGCCAUGGGGGGCAGGACCUCCCCUGCCCCUCCCAGCACUGGAUAGUACUUUCUUUCCCAACCAUUAGAAAUGUGGUGGGUGGAAAAAUUUCCUUUGUGUUUCUUUCUUUGCAAGUGAAGUUGACUUUCUCUUUAUGGGGUGUGUGUGGAGUACACUCAUUGCCACAUUUCUCUCGUGUGACCUGCCUGUUUGCAUCCUUCGUCCAUCUUUCUCAUCGGCUGGCAUGGACUCUUUGCAC